GCAGUCCUGUGGAACCCCAAUGAUUCCAUGAUCCCAAACAGAAGGUUUCUCCCCCUGUGGUGCCACAGCCCUUGAUGAUAUUUGCAAUCCUGUGGAACCCCAAUGAUUCCAUGAUCCCCAGCAGAAGCCUCCUUCCCCUCCUGUGUUGCCGCAGCCCUCCAGGGCUCACCCGCUGGAUCUCCACUCUCCCAGCACCAGGCCGUGGCGUUCCUGCUGGCGGAGAUGGCCAUGAAGGUGGAGCUGGCCCGCCUGGGGUACCAGCGAGCGGCCUGGGAGGUGGACGCCGGCCGCCGCAACACCUUCUACGCCUCCAUUGCCAAGGCCUUCGCCGGGGACGUCGCCAACCAGGUGGCCACAGAUGCUGUGCAGAUCUUUGGGGGCAACGGCUUCAACACGGAAUAUCCCGUGGAGAAACUCAUGAGGGAUGCCAAAAUCUAUCAGAUCUACGAGGGCACAGCCCAGAUCCAGCGAGUGAUCAUUGCCCGUGAGCACCUGGGCAGGUACAAGGACUGAGGGAUGCGGCAGCUCCAGGCCUGCUAUUCCAGGGAAAGGGAUUGUGCUGCAUUUCUCCAUUAGAAAAACACGGGAAAACCCCUUUUCCAUUAAACUCCUGUUCUUGUGCCUGAUCCAGCAGAGGCUCAUCCAUCCCCUGAGUGCAUCCCACUGACUGAUCAUCCCUAAAUCCUCCAGGAAUCACAUCGCUCUUCCCAAACCUCCCUUUGGCUUUCAGCAGCAAAGGAGACCAAACCCUUCCCCAGCAAACCUGGAUGAGCAGAGAGUGAACCAAAGUCUCAUUUUGUUAAAAUUUAUUUUUGCCAGUGACAGCAAAAGUCCUGCACGUCCCAGGGGUUGGAUUUGGGAUGUUUCCAUGUUUUUAACAGCACCAAUCCGCUCUCUUUGUGUAUUCCUGGGGCUUGGGUGAUGGCAGCUGGAUCAACCUCAGGGAAUUUUAAAAAAUCUGACUUUUCCUGCUGUGGCAGGGCCCAGAUGGCUCUGUCACUCAGGCUCCAGGGCCCUGCUUCCCAAGAGCCUUUCAACAUCCAGAUCUAAAGGAAAACUAAGGUGAAUCCAUGUUUCUCGAGCCAGAAUUCCUUGUUAGGGGUGAGCGGUGAUGAUGGUGUGUGAGAGGGGCUACGGGUGUGGCAGGAAAGGAGAAGGAUGGGGCAGGGGGAAGGUGGAUUUACUGAUCCUGUGGAAAAGCGUGCAGGAAAUGGGCUGGUUUUGGGCAUCGAAGCUGGCUGAGCCAGGGAUGAGACUUGUGUGGCACAGAGGGAUUCCCUGGAAAAAGGCUGGAGUCACUGCCAGGUCCCAAUAAACACUGCUGGUGAUUUGCA
rnacentral:lncRNA from 1 species